rnacentral:rRNA from 1 species
UCCGGGGGGGGCAAGCGUUGUUCGGAAUUACUGGGCGUAAAGGGCUCGUAGGCGGCCAACUAAGUCGGAUGUGAAAUCCCCAGGCUUAACCUGGGAACUGCAUCCGAUACUGGAUGGCUUGAAUUCGGGAGAGGGAUGCAGAAUUCCAGGUGUAGCGGUGAAAUGCGUAGAUAUCUGGAGGAAUACCGGUGGCGAAGGCGGCAUCCUGGACCGACAUUGACGCUGAGGAGCGAAAGCUAGGGGAGCAAACGGG